rnacentral:tRNA from 1 species
AGCAGCGUGGCUCAGUGGAAAGAGCCCGGGCUUGGGAGUCGGCGGUCAUGGGUUCGAAUUCCCGGCUCUGCCA